GGAUGGUAGGAUUAUUUGUGAUUCCCGGGAAGGGCGGCUGGACAGACACACCUGUCUGAACGUGGGAGCUGUAAGCUCGGCAAGCGGGGCCGAGCAGCUCCGCGUGUCCCCGGCGGGAGCGCCGCAGCCGCCGCCCCGCACGGCGCCGCCGCGCCCCGGCACGGAGCUGGCCCAUCAGUCCCGCGAUGUACGGAGCUGGUGCAGCCGUACACCGCCAGCCCCCAGUGCUCCAAAUAAAGUAAAGCUUUCUCACUGCAGGCCUUAGACGCCGCUCAGAUUCUUCAGCAGCAGCCAGUUACAUACAAGUGAUCCUGCUUUUGAACAUACACACUACGGAUGUCAUUACUACAUAUUUCUCCCUUAAAAUUACUGAAAUCAGCAGCAUGCAUUCUCAGUGGUGAUCACAGCUAUUCAUAGUGCAGUUGCAUUCUCAAACAGCUUCCUAUCAAGUGCUUCUUUCCAGCUGGCAAUGAGAACAGUAACUACAGCUUGAUGGAACAUUCAUUCUACCUGAAUUCUCCCUCUCUUGCCUAUUUAGAAUUAAUCAAAUAAAUAUCUGGUUUCUGGUUUCCCACUUGGUUCCCAGAAUAAGAAACACCGAUUGUUGAAAAUAACUCAAAACAUUCAGAAAUAACUGAAAAGACUGGCUGACCUUCUUCAGUUUCUGAUGAAAAUGCUUCAGUAAAUAUAGUGCAGAAGUAAAUCAGUAUCUUGUAUGAAUUUUUUUAAAGGAAAUAUUAUGACUCAAGUUGUUUUCAGUAUUUCUGUCUGUACUCUCAGGGUGCCUAUGCCACUGUCUCAACUCCUAUCAGACUAAGUCAAAAUGAAAAUGCAAAUGAGAUUUCUGCGAAAGGAUUGGAUACCUGAAUUUGAACCUUAAAUAUUGAAUACUUCUAUACAAUUUGCCUAGAGGAUAGGCCAUGGAUGUAACAUGCCCUGUACAUCUCAUGACAAGGGCACAGUAGGUGAUAAAGCCUCCUGACAGU